UGCUGGUGCUUGUGUUGGGGUUUGUGAUUGUGUUGGGGUGUGUAUGUGUUAGACUCUGUGAUUAUGUUGGGGUGUAAGUAUAUUGGGAAGUGUGGAUGUGUUGGGUUGUAUGUGUGUGGAAUCCGUGAUUGUGUUGGGGCGUAUGUGUAUUGAGAUGUGUGGUUGUGUUGGGGUGCAUGUGUGUUGGAAUCUAUGUGUUGAAUUGUAUAUGUGCGUUAGAAUCUGUGAUUGUGUUGGGGUGUAUGUGCAUUGGGAUGUGUGAUUUUACUGGGGAGUAUGCGCGUUUUGCUGGUCUGUAUGUGUGUUGGUGUGGGCAAUACUCUAGGAUGCUGAAAAGUUGGAUCUGACAGUGGUUGUGUGAGGAAAGAGUGCGUGAGCGCGUCAGCACUAAAGUUAAACACAAAAGCCUUUUACGCAGGGGCGAGAGGAGUUUCCUUUGUUCUAGACAGACAGGCUUGUAAGAGAUCAGAGAGAAUUAACCCUCAGACACACGGCACUUUGGAGGUUAUCGGUGGGCUGGCAGCAUUGAGAUGCAGGUAAUGACCAUUCCCAUGCCUCUGGGGGAAGCGUUCACCGGAAUAUACCAGGAUGAAAAAUUAAUAUGGAUUUUUACAACUUCUAAAGAGCAAAAUGUCAGUGGAUUUAUAUUCUCUACUCAUGCACUUGUAGACCCAAAAGCUGAUGGAGGAGUUUGGAGAUCGUAUUUUGAAGAGUUCAUCAUUUAACUCUUGGGAGCAACAGUUAGUUCAUGUGAAGACAAGCAUAGGAUAUAAUGUAAUGUGAUCUCUGUGGAAUUUACUUUUAAAAAUUGGAUUGGUUGUGAAAAUUGUGGCAUUUGGAUCAUUCAACUGAUCAGGAUUCAGAAUGAAUUUCAGGGCACUGAACUCAAUUUUCCACCAAGCUUACAGAGACCCACUAAUUUGGCACUGAGCUGAUUUCAGAUUCGGAUGCUUGACUUGACUACACAUUUGGAUAAGCUCACGGAACCAUUGGCUUUCCCUCUCUAAAUUUGCUCCAGCAUGAAACCAACUCUAGUGAAGCAAUGAAGAACAGUGCAGAAUCUCACAAUUGAACUCCUGUUUGCCUUUGCUAACUGGUAAAGAUCUGACUUGAAUCAGAAAGCUAUGGAUUCAGGUUCCACAUUAGAAAUCAACCUGACACUUCAGUGCAUGAACUGUGGGAGGAAUGCUGCCUUUCAGAGGCACUGAUUGCCCGCCCUGUAAGGGACCAGACUUGAUGAGCAUGUCUAGACUGUAAACAGCAGGAGCCUUUAGAUCAUCCAGCGGGUGAAGCACUUCACAGAGAAGAUUCAUCCUGUUUUCACCACAUACUCACCUCCCAUCAAUCAUCAACGGAGAGCAAUCAAGAAAAGGAAUCCUGGUUGUUUUGAGUGAGUCCUCGCUCUGUCCCCAGCAAGUCGAGGAGUUACUCAUGGUGCAGGCAAUCCAUGCACAAGUGUAGGGCAUGGAUCUAAACUAGCAUUAUGUACAAUGCAAGAAGCAGAACAACGUGAAGUCAAAUGGAAGUACAUUCCUGUAGAUGUUGAAAAUAUGAACAGCAAAUCAUUGGAUUCCAGUCAAUAUAUUAUCAAUGUCAACUUACUGAAGAACAACGAAAGCAUCUUAAUCCAGCAUCUUGAAGGCUUUAGAUCCAGUAACAGCAAAUUCUGAAUUCUGAUGUUAUGUACAUUUAUGUUGAAUAAUGUAAUAUUAGCCUAUGUGAAUUGUAAUUGCUUGCUUAUAAGUUGGUACUCUGAAAAUACAUUUUGGAUGAUUAACAUGAUUGUUGGUCAUUUGUGAAAAUUCUUAAAAUGUAAACGUAGGAGAGAAAAAUGCCUGGCAUUUUAGCUUUAUCUCUUCCUUGACCCUUAUGCUACUCACCCAUCAUUUAUGGACAUUUUCCAACAUAUGCUUCAAGAGAUUUAUUGGUUUGUUUGAGCUGUGUGACACAGCUUGAUAACCCUCCAGAAUCAAUUCAAAGUUGCUUUCCUAUCAGUUGUGCUUGAAAACAGCCCUAGAGAUUGUGAACCAAAGUUUGGAUAUCCACCUUUACUAGGAGAGAAUAAAAGAGACUUGCGUUUUCAUUUAUUUACAUUUAUCCUAUUGCCGUAAUGCAGAAACCCAGCAACCAAACGUGCAUGAAGCAAACUUCCACAAACAGCAAUGUGAUCUGACUGAGAAGUAAGUUUUUUUUCUGUGCUCUUCCCUUACAUUCUUCUCUGAAGUAGUGCCAUAUUAUUUUUUAGGAUUCUCCUGUGUUGGAUUAACAUAUGAACCAAAAGAUGGUAUUGCCUGUAGUCCAAUACUCCCUCACUACGAAUACCAAAGCAAAAUACAAUGAAUGCUGGUAACUUGAUACAAAAACAUGCUGGAAGUACACAGAGAAAUCUGUUGACACUUCAGAGCAUGGCUAUUUCCUUCAUACUGUCAACUUGAUUUUCAUGCUGGAGGACCCUGUAACUCAAAGGCAAGUGUGAUAGCAACCAAGCCACAAUUGGUGCACUGAAUGUUACCAGAAAUAAGAGACUGCAAUUAGACAAGGUGGAGGGAUUGUUCUCUUAAGAGCAGUGUAUUUUCAGGGUGAUUUAAUAGAGAUGUUCACAUAGUGAGAUAUGAUAUAUUUCUACUGAUAUGAGAUUUGCUAAUCAGAGGACAAAAUAUUUAAUUAAUUAGCAAAAGAAGUAAAGGAGAGAUUAGGAGUUUUUUUGUGUAACAAGUUGUAAUGGUCUGUAGUGCACUGUCUAGAAGAAUAGUGAAAUCACAUUCAAUGGUAACUGUCCAAAGGAAUUUGGGCAUACACUUGGAGGGCCAAAAUUUGCAAGACUUUGGGAAGAGUUUCAGAAAGGAAUAACUUACACAGCUCUUUCAAAGAGCCAAAUGAAAGAUGUUUGAUGUAAGUUUCUGUUCAGUUUUCUUUCUCACCAUAUCCCGAGGGACUUUUGGUUGAUAUUUUCCUGCACUUUCUCCCUGUGAUGUAAGGUUCAUCAUACUUCAAAAGCCAUUGCACCACAGAUCAACUGAUUCAGCUAAGUCAAGGAUCAAACCUCGAGAUAUUGCUAUGUGGCUCACUGUCACAAUUUUGAAUAAGCGCGAGGCAGUUUUCUCUGGUGUCUAAAAAAAUGUACAUCCUUCAGCCAACAUCAAACACUACACUGCUAUGUCUUUAUCAACCAAACUGUGAACUAAAAGAGGAUCCUGUAAGUGGUGUGAUAUUUGGUAACUGUGUAUAGGAAUCUGUGUAAACAGAUGAUCUGCUAAUUAUCACAUUGCUGUUUGUGAAAGUUUGGUGUCCUUUAAUUGGCUCCAACAUUUCAUAUGUUACAGUGGUGAUUACACUUCCAAAGUAUGUCAUUGAUUGUAAGGUGGCUUGUGAUAUCCUGAAUGGGGUUUCUCCUAUAGAUCUGACAAUAUUCCAAUUGACGAGUGCUUUAUGAACUCUCAGCUUAUUUGAUGAUAUGCUUUUAUGUACAGACCAGAGUCAUUGGACUAAUAAUCUAGAGAAUUUGAGUUAAGUUCCACCAUGGCAUUUUGAGAAUUUGAAUUCAGGUAAAAACAAAUUUGCAGAUAAAAAAGAACUGCUCCAAAAAAAAGAACGUAAUGCUGUCAGAUUGAUCAUUCCCUCAAGGGGAGAUGCUGGUAAUAUCAUUAGAUUAAAGAGUCAACAAUCUAGGCUGCUGCUGUUGGGUUGGGCGUGUGGUGGUGGGGGGUGGAUGUCACCAGUUCAAAGUAUCAUUUAAUAAAGUUCUGGCAUUGAAAGCUACCCUCCCUAAUGAUGACCAUCAAACUAUUGCUGGUUGUUGUUAAAGACUUAACUGCUUCACUAAUGUGCUGUUAGCUAAGGAAAUGUGCUGUCCUUGCCAGUUUGGUAGAUGUGAAUCCAAGUUCAUAAUGACAAAAUGGUUGACUUUUAUUUGCCCUUUGAAACAGCAAACCAUUCAGUUCUCAGAGCAACAAAUACUGGUUGUGCCGGUGAUGUUGCCAUCCUGUAAAAGAAUGAAGACUUAACUGACUUCUGAAAUCACUGAGGGCAACUAGAGUGUGGUGAUAAACUUCAUUCUUGCCAGCAAUGAUUAUGUUCCUAGAAUGAAUCUACAAAGAGAUAAAAUUAGAGAAGUUAAAAAUGAAUCUUAGUAAAAUAUCUCCAAUGUUAGCCUUUAAUGCUGUUUCCUGUAUGCUGUAACAGUAACACACCUUCUCCUGUGUUCUUGACUUGCACUGUGUUAAAUCUCCCAUCACUUAUACAUCAAGAUGCCAUCCCUUUGAGUUUAAUUACUACGCUAUUGUUUCCCAUGGCAUUCCUGAAUGAAGCACAGGGGGGAACUGGUAUGAACCUGUGCCAAAAAUUUAAACUUCACUUUUGAUAGCAGUGAGUACUAACAGAGAUCCUUCCCCCAUGGUCCUUUUUGUCAAUGUCUACUUAAGAAAUUGAACGUCCUGUAAAUAAUUCUCUUUCUCUCCAAAUUGAUGUUUUGUUACAACAUACUUAAUUGAGCAAAAGUGUACCUUGAGACAUCCUUAGGCAUUGAUGUAUAUUAAUGCAUGUUUUUUUUUCUAUUUGGUUUUGCCUGCUUUCUUCCCUGUGUGCCUAUUCUCCCACUUUCAGGUCAGGAACACCAUAGGGAUUGCUGGCUGUUUCUGAGCCAUGCAGGAGCCUUGAAGCUGACAGCAGGUUGGCCUAAUAAACAAAGUAAUCAAAGGGAUGAGCACUGAUGGAGAAUCGCGACUGGGGAUAUCCUUGAGUCUGUAGCCCUCCUGUCACUGACUGAACCACACUCCCCGACCUGCCACUGUGAGGUUGCCAAUGACAAAAGGUUGUCCUAACAGCUGCAAAAUUCUGCUGGCGCACUAAAAUAGCAAUUAAUAGAGCAUGUGCAAAUUGAUCCAGCGGCAGCCCAUGCUAGAGAGUUGUGGCAUGGUGGCUCAGUGGUUAGCAUUACUGCAUCAUAGUGCUAGGGGCCUGGGUUCAAUACCAGCCCUGGGUGACUGUCUUGCAUGCAGUAUGCAUGUUCUCACUGUGUCUGCAUGCAGACACAGCACAAGGUACACUCUCUCAAGUCCAGAGAUGUGUGGGUUAGGUGGAUUGACCAUACUAAAUUGCCCAUAGUGUCCAGGGAUGCGCAGGCUAGGGGGAUUAGCCAUGGUAAAUGUGGCUACACAGGAAUGGGGGGAUGUUUUGAGGCAGGGGCUGGGUCUAGGGCUGGGUCUGGGUCUGGGUCUGUGUCUGAGUAGGAUGCUUUUUGGAGAGUCAGGGUGGACUCAAUGUGCUGAAUGGCCUUUUUCUGCACUGUAGGGAUUCCACGAUUCUAGUUGCAGCUCCUUGCCAUAUUUCUGCUGGACCCAACUCCUGGGGGCUAAUUAAAUUCACCCCAUUGUCUUUUGUUGAAGUUAACAUACUUACCACAGUUCAUUGAAGGAACAGUAGGAAUGAUAAGACCAACUCUUUUCAAGUUCUCACCAUAUAAUCCAACCCUACUAAUACUUUUUACAUUGCUCAUAAGCCAGCCACAAAAAAAAAGCCCGUGGGAGAAAGAAAAUCCUCACGGAGCAGAACAUUGAAGCGUUUUAGCAAUGAUUUAGAUACUUGAACCACACUUUGGAUAAACGGGGAGGAUGUGGCACUACAGUAAUGUCACUAGACAGGAAAUCCAGACAAUUUGGCUAAUACUUUGUGGAUAUGGGCUCAAAACCAACCACAA